UACGUAGGGGGCGAGCGUUGUCCGGAUUUACUGGGCGUAAAGAGCGCGCAGGCGGUCGUUCAAGUCGCGUGUGAAAGCCCCCGGCUCAACUGGGGAGGGUCACGCGAUACUGAUCGACUGGAAGGCGGGAGAGGGAAGCGGAAUUCCCGGUGUAGUGGUGAAAUGCGUAGAUAUCGGGAGGAACACCAGUGGCGAAGGCGGCUUUCUGGCCCGUUCUUGACGCUGAGGCGCGAAAGCUAGGGUAGCAAACGGG
rnacentral:rRNA from 1 species